rnacentral:siRNA from 1 species
AACGGCCAUGCACCACCACCC